AUAUCAAUAAGCGGAGGAAAAGAAACCAACAGGGAUUGCCCCAGUAACGGCGAGUGAAGCGGCAACAGCUCAAAUUUGAAAUCUGGCCCUAGGUCCGAGUUGUAAUUUGUAGAGGAUGCUUUUGGUGACGCGCUUACCGAGUCCCCUGGAAUGGGGCGCCACAGAGGGUGAGAGCCCCGUAUGGUUUGCCGCCGAGCCUCUGUAAAGCUCCUUCGACGAGUCGAGUAGUUUGGGAAUGCUGCUCUAAAUGGGAGGUAAAUUUCUUCUAAAGCUAAAUACCGGCCAGAGACCGAUAGCGCACAAGUAGAGUGAUCGAAAGAUGAAAAGCACUUUGAAAAGAGGGUUAAAUAGCACGUGAAAUUGUUGAAAGGGAAGCGCUUGUGACCAGACUCGCGCCGGGCGGAUCAUCCAGCGUUCUCGCUGGUGCACUCCGCCCGGCUCGGGCCAGCAUCGGUUUUCGCCGGGGGACAAAAGCCUCGGGAACGUGGCCCCCUUAGGGGGGUGUUAUAGCCCGUGGCAGAAUACCCCGGCGGGGACCGAGGACCGCGCUUCGGCAAGGAUGCUGGCGUAAUGGUCACCAGCGACCCGUCUUGAAACACGGACCGAGGAGUCAAGCAUUAGUGCGAGUGUUUGGGUGUAAAACCCGCACGCGUAAUGAAAGUGAACGUAGGUGAGAGCUUCGGCGCAUCAUCGACCGAUCCUGAAGUUUACAGAUGGAUUUGAGUAGGAGCAUUAACGCUUGGACCCGAAAGAUGGUGAACUAUACUUGAAUAGGGUGAAGCCAGAGGAAACUCUGGUGGAGGCUCGCAGCGGUUCUGACGUGCAAAUCGAUCGUCAAAUUUGAGUAUAGGGGCGAAAGACUAAUCGAA
rnacentral:rRNA from 1 species